CUCCUACACUCUGGCGGGACAAAAACAACCAUUUCGGCCACAUUUCCCGAAUAUUCGGAUGGAGAAAACAAACGAGUAAUGUCGGGGUUUCGCCACAUUUCAGUCUGUCACAGGGAAUAAGUGGAACGUCGCCAGACUCGCGUCAUAACUUACAGUGGUCUGGUAACAAUUCCCGGUUCAGUGACACACCAACGCAGCUGCAGAAAAGUGCGCGUCAAAGUGCGAGCACAGAGCCCACGGACGGUCGUGUCUCCGGCAGAGUUGGGGAGGAGAGUGAAGGCCGCGUGAUUUCCUGUCCCGGUGACAGCGACUGGGAGCGCGCGCGCCUGCUCCCCUCAGCCCGUGUGUGUGUGUGUGAGGACCGUGCGCCCGUUCACCACCACCCCCGCGCCAGGAAACAGCCAUGUUGUGGGCAGCGUCGCUCGGCGGCUGCACUCGUCGCGGACUGAGCGGGAGUUUCUGAGGAGAAGCACGAUAUGGACAACUCUGUCACUCUGUGGCAGUUUCUCCUCCAGUUACUGUUGGAUUCCAAUAACGAGCCGCUGAUCCGCUGGACCAAUGAGGAAGGGGAGUUCAAACUGCUGCAGGCUGAGGAGGUGGCACGGCUGUGGGGGGCCCGAAAGAACAAGCCCAAUAUGAACUAUGACAAGCUGAGUCGGGCUCUCAGAUACUACUACGACAAGAACAUCAUCAAGAAGGUGAAUGGUCAGAAGUUCGUCUACCGCUUUGUUUCCUACCCGGACAUUUUGAAAGGAGUUGCUGCUGUGAGUGGUGAAGGUGAGGAUGAGGGCGCUGCGGCUGCCCACGCCAGGAUGACCGACGCCUCUCUUCAGGAGAGUGAGAGUGCUGAGCGCAGCAAAGGCGGGACGCACACCUCUCUGGGCUCCAGCACCAAGCAGUCCAGCCGCAACGACUACAUCCACUCUGGCCUCUACACCUCCUUUACCUUGAACUCUCUGCAGAACGAACGGCAACUUUUCAAGUCCAGCAAAGUGGACGCCUCAGUUGAGAGAGCGGUGGACAAGAGAAUCCCCGCUGCUGAUGGACAGGUUCUGCAAACUCAACCAGCACAUCCGGCUCCGCUGCCGUCCGUCAUCAAAUUUGGAAACAGUUCUCCGAGGCCGGUGUCUCACGCCACGCUGGAGCAGAGCCUGCUGUCCGGCCGCUCACACACUCAGCAGGCCUUGCCACUCAGGGUAGAUGUGGCCCUGGGGCCUCAGCAGAUGUUCUCCUCAGAGCAGUCCUCAUCCAAGCCACAGUUCAGCCUGUCGGACAUCACCUCGGCAAGCUCCCCCGCAAGUCAUGUGCCUGACCCGUCCAAGGAGCUGGUGCUUGACAUGGAGCCUGGAUCCUUUCAGCCUGAAGACACCCAGACGCCUGAGAACAAUGAGGCCCAGUUGCAAGACAAGGUGGACAGUGUUGGUGGCACGUCUUCUGGGUACGAGAUUGUUCUGGUGGAUGAAAGGAAGAAGGCUGCAGUUGGCGAACAAAGCUCAGGCAAAUCCAGAAAGCCACCUAAAGUUCUCCAAAUCAGCCCGCCCACUCUCCUGGUGACCACGUCGGACUUCUCCCCCAUGAACCUCUGCAGUCCCUCGCUACCUACCGCCUCGCUCACGCCCGCCAUGCUACAGACUCCCACUCUGCUGCUGACCCCCAGUCCUCUGCUGUCCAACAUCCACUUCUGGAGCACGCUCAGUCCUGUGGCUCCACUCAGCCCGGCGACAAGACGUCAGGGAGCCCACCUGUUCCAAUUCCCUUCCGUCCUCCCUCCUCAGUUCCAGAUCCCCGUCCACAGCAUGGAUGGGACCAACACGCCGGGCCCCAUCUCUCCAGACCUGCAGAAGACAUAAGACCUCCUUCCUCUCUCUCCUGUCACACAGCGCCACGAGAUCCCAACGCUGGGACCUGAAUCAGUGGUGUGUCAAGUUUGGAUGCAGACCUCGACAUGACUCAUCAUUUGCUCACAAAUGACUUGCAAUUUUUGAACGUGCUCGUGCUCCACAGUUCAUUCUUUCAUCAGCAGGUUGUUCUCAUCCAUUUCCCUUACAUGGAACGAUUCUUUUGUUUACCCCCCGCCCUUGUCUGCCCUGGAAUCUUUGCUGCUUAUGUAAAAAGUGACCAAAGUCUGAGGCGAGCUGAGACGCCUUCCUCGUUGCUCCUCGAGACCUUUUUCUAUUGCUGCCUGCCUUCAGGUGUCAAGCCAUAAAUAAGCACUCACUCUGCAAGCAACUCUCUCAGCAUCAAAUGGCCAUCCGCGUCUGAGAGUCUGUAUUAGGGAAGCACCAAAAUGAGACGUCUUAGCCAAAAGUGACGAUGAGAAAACCCAAACACCUGAAGAGCCAUGGCGGCAGUUACUGGUGCCACGGUGUCUGUGGCUGCUUCACUCGCUGAAAUCACAUUCAAAGUUUAGAUAAGUCAAUAACAAAAUGAUGAAAAUAUUUCUGCAGCACUGACACUGCAACAAUGUGCAAUAUGAAAUUCAAUGAGGUUGUUGUCAGACAAUGGACAGGCUUCGAAAUGACCGAAGGCCAGAGAUUGUGAAGCGAAGCGCGUUCUCGCAGAACAACAUGCGGGGCAUUUAAGUCACGCACAUUUUAGUGUUAACUCAUAGGGUUAGUGCAACAAAGGACAAGAGCAACUGCUGAAACACUGUUUUCUCUGACAGUGCUUCAUUUCUCCAUCCAGUGAAUCUGACAUGGAUCCAGUGCAGUCGCGAUGGCGUUCGGAAGACCUGAAUCCACCUCAGUGGCGCCAGUGGUUAAAGUCUUUGGGUUGGAAAUGCACGUUUGGCUGAGCGUUUUCGGUGCAUCCCUAGUGUUUCUUCACUGAAUUGUUUAACAGUGACUCCCAUGCUGGCUCCAGGAAGGAGAUGUUUACUUCAACAUGAUCUUAUGCAAAACCUACUAGGUACUGAAAGUACUUACUGCGCACCGUGGAACGACUUUGCCGCUACAGACGACAGAGCGAGCUCAUCAAGGCUGUUUCAGCUGAACACAGCUGGCCAAAGAUGAAGUUCUGAAUCUGAACGCUGGCUCUGACGCCUUCUUUGUGCUGCCUCUUCAGCUCAGCUGUAUUUAUUGAAACACAAGUUUCAGGCCACGUGGAUCAUAGAAAGACAAUCUUAGCCUCUCUAUUGAGAGGAGCGUAUCGCAGCAUGUUUCAGAAGCUCCGUCCAGCCCUUGCUUUCUCUGUUGCUGGCAGCCCAGGUGCAGUGAUUUAAAGUCGACUCUGACCUGUAAAUGACAGCCCUGUAAAUGACCUUGGAAGCCAUAUCAGACGCCCUCCGUGCACUCCCUCUCCUCUAAGCUAUUUCUUGUUUGCGUCGUAUGUUGCACUUGUUUACACGAUGCUGGCGCAGGAGCCAGCAGAUGGCGGCUCCUGUGUCCGGCUCUAUGCGAGGUAUAACCAGCAAAAGUCCUCAGUGAGACAUCGAUGGUGCCUUACACUAGAACUCCUGUAGAACCCCCACGUCAUUCCUGUCCAGCGUUUCUCUGCCACGUCUCUGACCAAACCUUGCGAGGAAUGUUUGCAGUUCUACUGUUCAAUGUGCUGCAGAAAUGCGUUUACUGUACAUAGGUGGCGAUACACCGAGUCGAAGUGACAGUUUUUUAACCUUUUUUUUUUUCCCCCAUACUUUUGUAUCAUUGUAGUCCUCACCGGUUGUUCUGUAUGCUGGGGAACCCUUGUCAUUUGGAUGUCCUGCUAUGGUCUAGUUGGGUGUGAGCUUGUUGGCGCAGAUGAAAAACAACAGAGCCUGGUGUGAUGAUGUGUUCUGACAUGAUGCUUUUGCUUCUGUAACCUCUGAUGUUUAUAUCUAUGUCCAGAGCUCAGUGCAGCCCCCUCCUCAGGGGGGGACUCCAUCAGUCGUCCAGACAUCACUGACGCUGACCAUGGUUCAUGCUGCAGCGGUGCUUCAGUUGGAUUGAUGCAUCUGGCUCAGCCUCCGCCCCAGGUUAGAUCCAGUUCCCAGGUCAGACCUGUGGACCAGUUCUCUCACUCACCCUCCACCAAAGUGGCUCUAUGGUGCCGCCACCUGCAUUUUUAAUUCAUUUUCAACUCCUGUUUAGAAGUGAGUGACUCACCUGCUUGUCUUUGAGACAACACAUUAGGUGCCACUCACCUCACUGGGAUUUGAGCCCAUCACCAGCAGACUACACUUCCUGAUGUCUGAAACGUGGCUGGCACCAUAUCCCAUAUGGCUGAGACCAGCCAGUCUGGUGUUCAUCGCUGCCCUCACUUUGUUCUCGUGACCCCACGGGUGAACACAGCGCCUUGGACACGAAAAGCUCGGCGCUGUAAGUGCCGUGGACACACGUCCUGUUUGCUGACUAAGAAAUGGGUAUUUUCCAAAAAGGGUUCAAUUGAUGCACUUUGUAUUUUGUACGGCAGAAUUUAAGCAGUUUUUCUGAUGUUUGUACCAAGUACCCCGGGAUGGUGUAUAGACCUGUUCUGGGUGAUCCUCAUCAGGGGAGUGAGUGGAAGAAAAAUGAACAAAUGUACUUUGUUGGCACCAGCUGCAGCCAGGCCUGCGGCGCUGGAGGUGCACUCACAACAGGGGCUCAGCGCUGGAGGGCAAAAACGAGACCUGGGAAGAAGCUCAGCGCCUCCUGAUGGAUUAAAGGCAGCGCGGCUGCUGGGGCGGAUCAAAGAUGCAGAGUGAGAUGAGAGCGUUGGUGGAGGCCUGGAUACAGAGGGAAGAGGAGCUCGGUGAAACAGGCGCCGGGGUGAACGGCAGGUCACAGCAACAAACAUGGCGCCCGCAGCUCGUGCUGGGGACCCAGAAGGGCGGGAACCCUUCAGGCCGACGGCGUCACCUCCACUGACUGCAGGUCAGUUUCUUCACCACCAGAUGGCGGCAUUGACAAGUUCUGUUCUCGAGUGACUUGCUGUUGACGCGCCAACAGCGCUCAGCGACCUGGGAGGGUGGAAUGGCCGCAUCCAGCUUGAAUUUCCACCCCGUGUUUUUAAACAGUGAAGGAAAACUGUUGAAGGAGUGACCUGACCUCGGUUCUCCCUGUGCGUCAGCUCUCAUUAUUCCCGAAGAGAGAGUGCACCCUGACUGUUGAGGAGAAGUCGACACAGCGUAUUAGCACACAGUUACACAUGUGUGUUUGUGCUUCACCCUACAGCAGCAGCCGCAUCUCUCCAGGUGGGAGAAAGUCCUGGAUGACCAGACUGAUCCUUCAAUGCAGAGGUUACUACCCUUUACCUCUCUCUCUUUCAGAGUUUUAUUGAGUUAAAAUGCAACACACAGCGAGUGGUCAAUGUGUGAGAUAUAUCUUUAUAUUAGGUCAAAUGAGUUUUAUACAGCACAUUUCCACAGUCAUUUGAGGCGACAAUGAAGUUCACAAAUGCAGAAGAAACAGGACUGAAACAGGGAUUUUAGAUUUCAUCAUACGUCUGUCUGGCCCCUCCCCCUCCCUGGGGGUCAACAGCAGCAUCUUCAGCAUAUCACUAGUGAGCACAGCAGCUACCUGGCGCCGACCGUCCAGCUGGCUCCGGCGCUGGCUCACGCCUCUGGUGCUCUGCUCUCAGGCACGUGCUGCCAUGUGAAGCAUCGAGACGCUCACGAGCUCAGACUCCAAGGAAAGACUCGCUGCCACAAUCCUAGGGGAGUCCUGCAGCAGCAGACCGAAUCAGCCCUAGUCCUGAUGCCUCUGCUGUGGCCUCUGAGAAUCGGGACACUGUGUCAUGAAGCCUCAUUGACCCUUCAGUACUGUGUCAUGAAGCCUCACAGUAGGAGUCCUCUGCUCCGGGGCAGUCCUCUGCUACCCCAGAAGAUCUCGCUCCAGUGCAGAAGACAUUUAGAGAGGAACAAACCAAACACAUGACAACCUGAUGGCCUGAAUCCCUGGGGCAGAAGGGUCGGAGGGGGUUAAAGACGGAGGUUCAUGGGAGGAUGGACUUUUUUGCUUUGGUCGGAUCUUGGAUGACAUGUCCCUCUCGCCCUCCCACCGUGUCUCUCUCUCAAGCUCAGGUCCUCCACCCGAGGCCUGGGAGCUUGAAGGGUCUGCACUGUGUCCUAGCUCUUCCCAGGACUGGGCUCUUCUGGACUGAGGCUUCAGAUGUCCUUCCCGUGAUCUGAUCACGGUUCGGGGGGCUCACUGCUCUGAGUGCUCCUGUUACCACCGGGCCUACAGGUCAUUCAGUCCUGGACACAAGCAAGUGGAUCCAUGUUCAGCAGGUCUGGCAACACAAUGGUGGAGUUUGGUUCAUGGUGUUCUGUGGGAUCAAAUGGGCCCCGUGGUUUAAGAGGAAUCUAGAGCAGUGGUUCUUAACCACAGGCCCGGGGCCCAUGGUAGGGCCGCCAGCUGUCUUACCUGGGGCAGAGGCAGCUACUUUACAGACGAGCGCAGGAACACGGUGAGUGAGACUCAGCGCCUUCUAGCUUAUCAUGUGCAGGUGGAAGUGGAUGGUCUUGCAGCAGGUCACUGGACCUCUGGGACCUUAAGGGUGUUUCAGUGAGGAGGAAUGGAACUUGUGAGUACUACAGUGCUGCUGCUUUAUCCAUCGGCGACUGAUGAGUAAAUGGCUGAGGUGAAUCCAGGCACCAGCAGAGGAGCCAGCGUGUGCAGACGCAGCCUCCCUCCUGCAGCGUGGACCAACACAUCUCAGCUUCAUGGGAUCCGCUCACACGGCUCAGUGAGUGGGGCCUCUGCUCCUGUCCUGCAGCAUCUCAGCUCCACGCUGCUGCGACGCAGACUCAUCUUAUUUUAAUGUGUUGGAAGGGCAGGCACUCUGGAGCACAGCGGGGGGCCUCCUGGCCCAGUCACGGAAGCACUGAAACAUGGACCACGCUCACGCUAGCACCAAUGACGCCAGAGAUGCUCCGGCACACAGGAGCAACUCAGCUCUGAGUCUGGAUCAACACUUUCACUCUGCUCACCACCACCUGCUGUAGCAUGGAGCAUGGUGGUUUCCAACCGGUGAGUGAGACGCCGUCAGGUGUUGCUGCGGGAAACGAUCACCUCAUUUGUCUGGAGGCAGGUGCACGAUAUGACGCCUUCAAAUCAUGAACAACUAGAAGGUGUUGAGGAUCUACCAACAGGAGCAGAUCCCAUGGAUUCACUCACCUUCUCUCUAUACACUCUAGAUCUAUGCUGACGCGCUGACUCGUCCAUCACUGGCUGCAGGAGAAGAAGUUGGUCAAAUGAGUCACUACCCCUGGUUUUUAAACCUGACACACCUCUGACGUGACACACACCUUCACCACAGAACCAUGGAGCGAUCCUGGUCAGACCCAUGAGGCCAAAGACUGACAGAGCUAACAGCUGACAGAGCUAACGGCUAACGUGAUGUAGAAGUUCACAACUUUACACUGUAGACCAUUGACACUUGUAGACCAUCAGAGUCUUAAAAGUUGGCUGAAGACUAAAUGCAGAACCAAAUAAAUGUGCUGGAAAAUGUGACACAAAGAAUCAUUGUUGUUAUGAAGCAAGUUGAGGCGAAGAAUCUUAAACAUUUGUCUGGAAAUGACCCAAACUAGAAUAAUAAAGUAAUGAAAUCAUAAUCAAACUAGAAUAAUAAUGUGUCAGAUUUUGUUUCCUUUAAGACAAACACUGGACCAGAAACGUGCAAGUUAGUCUCAAGAACACAGGUGAGAUUGUGAUGAAAUAGGAACAGUUGUUCAAAAUAACUAAAUCCUGAUCCAUGUUCCUCAUAGUUCCCACCGCUUUCUGGAGACAUUUUUAAGCAGAUACGUUCUCUGCAUUUUGUUUCUGCAAAUGUGGUUUCAGUAGCUAAAAUGUUGACAACAUGAAAGGGAUUUUCAGCCAAGCUCUCGUGUUUUUGCCUGAGCUUCCUUCAGGCUUGAGGCUUGGGGGUUUUUUCAAUGAAGAAGUGAGUUGAAUGGGCUGGAAAACCCUGAUGUUGCGUAUGUCCAACACUGGUGUGCAGAAGUGUCUUGCAGUGCAGCUCAUGUACUUUGGAGGAAAAUGAAGCUGUGGGUCCAGGAAGAGCCAGAGGCUGUUCUGAACUGACCGUCGGUGGAGCCAGCGCACGGCGGGGAUGAAGCCCCGCGUGGACCUCAGUCUGCUGUGGGCAGAGCUCGGCUUCACGUCCUCAUCCUGCAGUGACCAGGGGCAGGAGUGGGCGCCGGCGUGAUAGGGAGCCGCUCAGCUUAUCUCCACUGCCAAGCUACGCCCUCAGAUGUUGACGCUGGCAGAGCUCUGCUGCUGGAGGAGGAGGAGGAGGACUCACCUGCAGCCCGCUCUUCUUCAUGUGAGACGUGGCGGGAGCUGCUGAGGAGUCGACGGAGACAGAAAAGUUGGGGACAGGUUCUGUGCCAGUUGGAAUACCGGGAGAAAAAACCACCAGUGGCGUGCCGAGGCGCUUGUUUCAACUUGCUCCAACUGAGUGUCCCGGUCAGUCAAAGGUUAAUUUCCUCUAAGUCUCUGCACUGUCCCCUCUUUCACUGCUUCACAGAACAAACACUUUAAAUAGGAUUAGCAGUUGAUGUGUCGCCAUGGCAACAUCUCUGACUGGAGCGCAAACAGGGCUGCAACAGCAGGGUCGGACUGUCGCGGAAAAAACAGUGUUGACUUUCAUUCAAGUGGCUUUUCGGACCAGUUCAACGUGUCACAAGGCUUUACUUUCACCGGUGCCGUGAAGCUGGGCUCGGCUCUGGCCACUGUUUGGAGGCACGGAUUUUUCUUAUGUUCAAGAGGGAAAUUCAAAUCAUGAAAAACACGAGAGGAAACGUUAUUUUCUGAGCGGCUCCCCCUCUUCCUUCGGCAUGGAAGGACAGGCGCGGCGCGGCGCGGCGCGGGAUGGAUCCAGAGGUCACAGUGCAGCCUGAGGACCCUGGCAAACAAGUUCCUGGCAACACUCUCCAGUCUCUCUCAUGAAGCGCAGCCUCUCAGCAGCGAUCUCAACGUUACCAGGAAAAAUAUAUAUAUCUAGUAACAAUACGAAAAAGUUAGUCAAAAACACUCUCCAUUCUCUCUCAUGAAGCGCACAGCAGCGAUCUGAACGUUUCCAGGAAAAAAAAAAAUAUAGUAACAAUAUAAAAGUUAGUCAAAAACAUGUCGCGCUGAAGAAAAGGAAAAGCUAAGUGAAUGAAAACAAAUGAAGACCAUGAAAAUCUAGUAAUUACAUGUAAUAAUUAAACUACGUGUAAUUACUCUGACUUUGUUUUGCAAAUACAUUUUCAUUGAGAUUUUUGGUUCAUAAUUCUUAUUUAAAAAAUAAUUCAAGGAUUCAAAAAAAUAAUAAUGUUCUAACGCUUGUAUUUGUUUCCAACGUUCAUGAUUUUAAACUCGUGGUGGUCGAUUUCAAGUUUAGAAAGAAAAGAGUUCAAUUCACUGGUGCAUGAAAUGGAGUGACCACCACUUUGGAGGGUUCUGCUGACGCUUGUGCUGCCGACGUUCUUCGCCCUUUUGUCAUGUGUUUGUUGAAGAAUGUUUAGAGAUCAAUAGAGAUCAGUCAUUGUGAAGUGAUGGAAGAGAAAAAAGUCAACCUGUGUUGCCCCUUUUUCAUUUGCCCAAUAAUCCACAUUUACAAAAAUGAAUGCCAGGAUCCUAAUGAUGGCAAUGAUGAAAGCCUGCGUCCCAUGUGUCCACGUCGUGACUCAGCGUCGUCCACGAUGGUGCCACCACACACCGCUCGCUCCUGGCAACUGAGAAGGGUUUGACUGGAGACGUUUGGAAACUUGCAAUGAUGGAACCAAGUUGGAAAUAAAGCGCCGAGCUUCAGAAGCCACUCGUUCCCCAGUCGACUCCAGCGCACACGCAGGACCUGAAGAGGACAUGAAAAUAAGACUGUUCAUCCACUUAUUGUCCAAGGUAAGUGGAGGACCUGAGGAA